CUCCUGGUGAGUUGUACAGUCGCUGAACAGAGCAUACAGCACUGGCUUUGUGCAGGCAGCACAAGGUUUGCAUGCUACCUGCAAAGGUCGUUAUGGCUGAAUUUUGCUUCACCCUGAGAAGAAAACUACUGGGAUGUUGGAAAUCUGAAACAGAAACAGAGAAU